AUUGGAUCACAAGUAGACAGCUCUAAGUACAGGUGUGAAUGCACCAGUUGCGUUCUCUAUGCGUGGUGAGAUCCGAUCACUCAGACCACAUUUGGAGGUGGUCUGGGCCACAUAUGGCUGCAUUCUUUCAGCAGAGUGUUCCUACAUUACCCAGAAUGCCUGUCAACUACCCCCCAGGGAACAUGUCUGGACUUGUUGCACUCAGCGUUUUAAGGAGUAGGAGGAGGAAAUGAUGGCAGCCACACCACACACAUCAGUAGAGCAAGAUGCUUGUGUCGCACUCCUCCCCUCCUCACCGUGCACAGAGUGGUUGAGCGCACCUGUGAUUAAUCUGCUUAUUAGAAAAGGGCUGGUUAAAAGGAGCUGAGAGGUGACCGGUAGGUGCCAGAGAGAGGAUGUGUGUUGGUUGAAGAUGUAGUUAACUGCAGCUGAAUGGUGGCUUGAGCUUGUGCUGCAGCAAAGCUUCUCUCCUUUGUUGUGGAA